CCUGACACUAGAAACUUUGUGGGUGUGGCUGUUGUGUCAUGUGUGUGUUAGCAGAUGGCAGAGAGGAGAGAGGCUAUGUAUAUGCUCAGUGUUCUGAUGUAUGAACAUCUGGAUCAUUAGUAGCCUAACAUU